rnacentral:rRNA from 1 species
CAGCAGCCGCGGUAAUACGAAGGGGGCUAGCGUUGUUCGGAUUUACUGGGCGUAAAGGGCGCGUAGGCGGACUGAUAAGUCAGGGGUGAAAUCCCAAGGCUCAACCUUGGAACUGCCUUUGAUACUGUUUGUCUUGAGUUCGAGAGAGGUAAGUGGAACUGCGAGUGUAGAGGUGAAAUUCGUAGUUAUUCGCAAGAACACCAGUGGCGAAGGCGGCUUACUGGCUCGAAACUGACGCUGAGGCGCGAAAGCGUGGGGAGCAAACAGGAUUAGAUACCCCAGUAGUCCCUGUCUCUUAUAC